rnacentral:lncRNA from 1 species
UCUUUUCACCACUCUUUUCACCACUCAAUUUAUUUCAAUUCAAUAAUCGAUUCACCUGUCAUUGAUGAUCAUACUUAUCAGCAAUUUUCAUCAGUGUGUGCGCGUGCUACCUAUCCCUAAUGAUGCCCUGUGUGGUGUAGAUAGGUGGUGAACCUCUUUCAUCCAUGAAUAUUUUCAACAUAUGGAUCGAUCUCAAAAUCCGACUUAUUUCGAGCACCUCAUUCUUAAGAAUGCACAGUUCUAUCUUAUGCAUAUAGUCUCUGUUCUCAAGAACUUUGUCCGACUUCUCGAUACGUAUUUGAUCACAAAAUAAGAAGCAGUCUCCUAAUUGAGUGUUAACUAUUCGUCACGCUAUAUCACUAACACUAAAUCUCGCAAGGGUUUCCCCACAGUGAUGCGAAUUAUGUCUUUCAUAGAAGUGCGAAUGUUCAUCGUAGUGGGGCAUCUGGAGGGUUGCUAGAAAUCACACGCGAUAGAGUGGCUCUAAUAUAUAUACCUAGCAGCACU